rnacentral:hammerhead_ribozyme from 1 species
AUCCAGCUUACGAGUCCCUAAUAGGAUGAAACACGUGUUGUGGAU